CCCAAGAGAACCCUCUUUACAACUUAAAACAGAGAAAUAAAAAGAAAAAAACACCCUUAUGCUACAUACACUUAUACAAACACCACAAUGCCAUUACCAAUAUGCAAGCACUGCCCCAUAAUAAGAACCCACAGUGAUACAAGUGUAUCCUAUUAAGAGCUUAGUGAUCCUCGAGAUUGGUGUCUUGAGGAUAGACAUUUGUCACCCUACGACUUGGUUAUCGCGAAACGACGACGCUGCGGGUCUAGAGCGUAACGCCUGGCUGAGAUCGAAAAGUCUUUGGGAUUCUAGAAAGUUCUAAAAACAGAUUUUCUUAUUUCGAGUGAAUAAGAAAUAAAUUUUCUUGUAUGAUUUGAAGUCGUCCAAGGUCUAUAAAAAGGGCAGUUAGGGCUUAGUUUGUCUAGAUAAUAUAGUGAGGUAGAGAUUCUUGCAAUUUUCAUAAUAUUCAGUAAAGAAAAUAGUUUUCUUCGAGAUCUUGUGUUUUGUUCAUCUUAUUUAUUAUUAUUGUUUAAUUUCACAUUCAAUAGUUUAUUUGUCUAGUAAUUUGUAUCAUGUAGACUGAGAUCUUG
rnacentral:lncRNA from 1 species